UUUUUAUUGGAUGAUGACUGUUACGUGUUAUGUCCUGAUUAGAUGUCAAUUCCAUGAAAGAUGAAAUGAAUUGUUAUUUUCAUUAACCAAUCAGAACAUAACACGUGGCAAUCACUAUCC
rfam:Glycine max cultivar Williams 82 chromosome 4, whole genome shotgun sequence.